rnacentral:rRNA from 5 species
UCCACGGCCAUAGGACU